UCAGUGAAUGGUCCGGGUGCGACUGGGGGGGUGGGGGAGCCCGGCCGCCGGGGGGGGGGGGGAAGGCAGCGCCUGGGGAGCCGGAGUGAGAGGAGUCCCAGCCCUCCGUGCCGCCUGGCACCGGGGAUUACCAGCCUGGGGAGCCUGCAGAGCCGCAGCACUGAAGUUGCAAGGGGCAGGCGGGUGUUGCUGGUCUUCUGAAGUGGUCAACCAGAUUCCCUUAAAGUGGUCGUCUGAGUUAUAACACAGGUGUGUGAUGUAAAAGCAGUGGGCAGUCCUCGGGCCCUCCCCCACACUAUUGUAACGUCAUGUGCCAGUAUGAAUAUUAAAGCAGAAACACAUACUUCAGUAUUCAGCAACCAAAGGAGAAGCUAAACACUGAGAACAAAUGACUGGAGUGCUUGCAAAACUUUGGGCAGCUAACUUCUUCUCCUCCUUCCCUGCUAUUGUGAAACAGCUGGAAAAGCAGAACUGAAGCAGCAUUUUUUGUGGAUAUUUUUUCUUUUUUUAUUUAAUUUUUCCCCUUUGUUUUGGGUUUCAGACUCUCAAACUGCACUGAC
rnacentral:lncRNA from 1 species